rnacentral:piRNA from 1 species
UUGUAGUGAUGCUUUCCUCUGAGCACAUG